GAAGACAAAGUAAGACAAAAAGCCCCAGUGGACACGACACUUCAUCACCUCCUCGUUGUGUUUUGCUCCCGAUGGACAAGUAGUUUCUAUAGAGACACCGCUUGUGUGUUUGUGUGGUGUGGAAGAGCUGAAAAGCAAAAGUGAAAAAAAAGAUAAUGAGGUUAAAUACGUCACAGUGUCUCUGUGAUCUCAUUGGUCGACUGAUAUCAGACUCAGGAAACAUCAGCAGGUCAAAAGCAAACACCCAGUAGUCAAUGGCAGGAAGGUGUCUCAUUACUCCUCAUCUCCUCCCAGCCACGAGCAGCAGCCAGGGAUGCCAGAUUGCCAGCUU